AACCCAAAGGGCUAAGUCUUCUUUCUUAAUUUUUAAAACAAGCAUGUGUUUUGUUCUUUACAUGAAUCGUCGGUUCUCCCAGUGUGAUCACGACACUGUCCCAUGCUGAUUCCAUGCACGGUGCAACUCUUUCCCAAGAGAGAUUCUAACUCAGGACACCUGGGAGAGGACCCGAGCUGCAUUUCUCACAGCUACCAGAUGCUGCACGCUGGCAAGGUUUUGGGAUGCACUGAAUCCAGUUCAGCAUGUUUACUGAGCAUAUACCACAUAGAGAGCCCAGAUGAUAAAAAAAUGAGAAGAUGGGUUGUACCUGCCCUUGAGGAGCUAACAAGCUUGUAAACUGAGGCCCAGAAAGGUUCAGCCAUCUGCCUGAGGUCACACAGCCACAGUUUGGACCUGAGCCAUCAAUCAUCCACCAAAAGCCUGCAUUGACCCUAGAAGAUUCCAUUGCAUGUUGUCAAGGCGCUUAGUUUCUCUCUUGUGUCUCCCCAAAACAUAAACCUGGAAUGGAAGAGAGCCACUUACUCUAUAGAUGCUUUUAGCUCAGAACGCUUCAAGCUUUUGGAGUAUGAGAAAUAAUAACAAUCAUUCCAUUCUUUCCUGGAGUUUGAUCUCAGCUGUUGGUGAUAUUGUUGGGACUGAUUUGCUAUCUAUAAAGCCAAAUUUGAGAAAAGACAGGUUAAAAAUAAACAGGGAGGAUGAUGGUAGUAAAAAUAA
rnacentral:lncRNA from 1 species